AUGGCUGUCCUGUGGCUGCUGCUGCUGGCAGGGCUGCCCUCCUUCUUAGUGGAGUCUUUGCAUGGGUUCUUAUUCAGCAAUUUCUCACUGCAGAAAUUCCCUCCACCCUCAAGCACCUGGCGAAGAUGUGGUUUAUCCACGGCAUCUGGCUGUAUGUGUUAACUUUGGGGAACAUACUAGAGAAACUGAGGAUUUGCACCAUGCCCCGGUUUUUACAGUUUCUCGAAGGCCUAAUGCCGAUAAAUAAGGAUCCUAACGUGUUGGUGACUGACUUGCAUUUUGGGACAAUCCCUGUGAGGCUGCUGAAGCCCAAGAAAGCGUCUUCCCAACCCCGGCGAGGCAUCAUCUUCUAUCAUGGAGGAGGUGCACUUACUGGAAGCCUGGACCGUUACCAUCGCUUAUGCAGCUCAAUGGCCCUCGAGACAGAUUCAGUGGUGUUGAUGGUGGGGUACCGUAGGCUUCCUGACCAUCAUCAUCCUGCUAUUUAUUUGGAUUGCCUGAAUGUCUCCAUCCACUCCCUGAAGGACCUGUAAACCUGUGGGGUAGACCCCUCACGCGUAGUGCUCUGUGGAGAGAGUAUAGGGGGCUGGACUGUGGCCCUUGUCACUCAGACUUUGGUCAGUCAAGCCAAUCUCCCCCAGAUGCAGGCUCAAGUCCUGAUUACUCCAAUUGUGCAGGUCCUCAAUUUCCAGUUACCAUCACAUCUGCAGAAACGAAACGUGCCAUUUCUUACCAGAGACUUAAUGAUUUCAUUUAUUUGCAAAUACCUGGACAUUGACCUUUCUUGGAAAGAUGUCAUGUUGACAGGAGCUUGUGUGUCCCUGAACGCCUGGAAGAAAUACAAGAAAUGGGUCAGCUCUGACAACAUUCCCCAAAAGUUCAGGAGCAAAAGUUUCCAGCCCAAGUUGGGACCUUUCAACGAGGCUGCCUAUCUGGAAACCAAACAUAUUUUGGAUGAAAAGAUUUCGCCUCUUCUAGCAGAUGACAAGAUUAUUGCCCAGCUCCCCCAGGCCUUCCUGGUGAGCUGUGAGAAUGACCCCCUCUGUAAUGACACCUUGCUCUACAAGAAGCACUUGGAAGACCAGGGGGUCCCUGUGACCUGGUACCAUGUGGAGGACGGCUUUCACGGAUGCAUGGUUCUGUUUGAUAAGCAGCCUUUCUCUUUUCCCUGCUCCAGGAACAUUUUAAAUGCCAUUAUCAAUUACAUGAAGAGUAUAUCAUCAUAA